rnacentral:lncRNA from 10 species
UCUUCUGGAGCUGGGGUCCAGGCACCAGUAUGUUUUAAAAGCUCCCCGGGUGAUUUUAAUGUGUAGGGAGAGCUAAGAACCAAUGAACUAAAUGAUCUCUAAAGAUACUUUCUAACUCUUUUUUUAAAAAAUGCUGUGAUACCACCAGGAGUUAGAGAAAAUGACUUCAAGGCCCUUGGGGCACCCUUUUCUAGCAGCCCCGAGGCUCCAGUGCAUAGUGUGCAAUCAGCCUUCUAAUAGGAGAAAAACAAUACAAGGCUUCAUGUGUUGGUCCCAAAGCUUGCCUAUUCUGGCUGCCCCACCAUGUCACUGCCAUACAAUCAAUGGAAAAAUUGUUCUUUACCAUAACUUGAGAGGGAGAUAAUCAGGAACAAUCUGGCUACACCAUAGGCUAAUCACAAUGACUGAUAUUUCUAGGGCUGCAUUAAUCAAGCCUUCAAGUAGACAGACUCUUACGGUCAGACCAAUUCUAGAAUGAUUCUGCCUCCACUGUGGGAAUCUUUUAUAAACGGAAAUUCUCCAUUCAGCCUUCCCUCUCUCUCUUAAGUGCAAAAUCCCUCCUAAUGGUAGCAUCUGUUGUCUGCGGCAAACAGAGUUGAUUACAGAUGCUCUGAAAGGAAUUUAAGUAUUUUCUCUUGCUACUCAGGAGGUGAUGGUGUGAUGGGAAACAGUAAUUCUUUUUAGAAAAUAAAAAACCUUUGGCUAAACAGUGACUACAAUAAUAAGAAUGGCUUGGUUUCCUGAAGCCUACUUUGCAAUUGUUGAAGUGAUUUGCCCACUCUAGAGAAGGUAUAUGAAGUGGAAAUGGAAUAUGAAGAGAUAUUCGUACAAGGGAACAAGGUGUGUAUUCCUAGCCUUAAUUUUAAGGUUAUAUGUCU